rnacentral:rRNA from 1 species
AACGAACGCUGGCGGCAUGCCUAACACAUGCAAGUCGAACGAGAUCUUCGGAUCUAGUGGCGCACGGGUGCGUAACGCGUGGGAAUCUGCCCUUGGGUUCGGAAUAACAGUGAGAAAUUACUGCUAAUACCGGAUGAUGUCUUCGGACCAAAGAUUUAUCGCCCAAGGAUGAGCCCGCGUAGGAUUAGGUAGUUGGUGGGGUAAUGGCCUACCAAGCCGACGAUCCUUAGCUGGUCUGAGAGGAUGAUCAGCCACACUGGGACUGAGACACGGGCCAGACUCCUACUGGAGGCAGCAGUGGGGAAUAUUGGACAAUGGGCGAAAGCCUGAUCCAGCAAUGCCGCGUGAGUGAUGAACGCCUUAAGGUUGUAAAGCUCUUUUACCAGGGAUGAUAAUGACAGUACCUGGAUAAUAAGCUCCAGAUAACUCCGUGCCAGCAUCCGCGGUAAUACGGAGGGAGCUAGCGUUGUUCGGAAUUACUGGGCGUAAAGCGCGCGUAGGCUGUUACUCAAGUCAGAGGUGAAAGCCCGGGGCUCAACCCCGGAACUGCCUUUGAAACUAGGUGACUAGAAUCUUGGAGAGGUCAGUGGAAUUCCGAGUGUAGAGGUGAAAUUCGUAGAUAUUCGGAAGAACACCAGUGGCGAAGGCGACUGACUGGACAAGUAUUGACGCUGAGGUGCGAAAGCGUGGGGAGCAAACAGGAUUAGAUACCCUGGUAGUCCACGCCGUAAACGAUGAUAACUAGCUGUCCGGGCACUGGGUGCUUGGGUGGCGCAGCUAACGCAUUAAGUUAUCCGCCUGGGGAGUACGGUCGCAAGAUUAAAACUCAAAGGAAUUGACGGGGGCCUGCACAAGCGGUGGAGCAUGUGGUUUUAUUUGAAGCAACGCGCAGAACCUUACCAGCGUUUGACAUCCUCAUCGCGAUUUCCAGAGAUGGAUUUCUUCAGUUCGGCUGGAUGAGUGACAGGUGCUGCAUGGCUGUCGUCAGCUCGUGUCGUGAGAUGAUGGGGUUAAGUCCCGCAACGAGCGCAACCCUCGUCCUUAGUUGCCAUCAUUUAGUUGGGCACUCUAAGGAAACUGCCGGUGAUAAGCCGGAGGAAGGUGGGGAUGACGUCAAGUCCUCACGGCCCUUACACGGUGGGCUACACACGUGCUACAAUGGCGGUGACAGUGGGCAGCAAGCACGCGAGUGUGAGCUAAUCUCCAAAAGCCGUCUCAGUUCGGAUCGUUCUCUGCACCUCGAGAGCGUGAAGGCGGAAUCGCUAGUAAUCGCGGAUCAGCAUGCCGCGGUGAAGACGUUCCCCGGCCU